GUUUUAUUAUAUUUAUUUUUUGUUUAUUUAAUUAUUUAAUAUAAAUAAUUUUAUUGUAUUUUUGUCUUAGUAUAUUUUAUAGAAUUGAUUUUUUAAAUUAUAGUUUAUUGGUAAUGUAAGUGUUUUAUGAAAUAUUAUUUUAAAUUUUUUUAAGUAGAUUUUAUUUAUUGUACCUUUUGUAUCAGGGUUUAUCAAAAUUUUAGUAUUUAUUUUACUUGUCUCGAUUUGGGUUGAUUUAUAAAUAAUUUAUAGUUAAUGUAUCAUAAUUAUUAUUAAAUUAUUUAUAGAAAUGAGAUGUUAAUCGUUUCCCAAGAUAUCUAGUUUCUUAAGAAAAAAUUUAAUUUUUUAAAGUUAUUUGUUUUUAUUUAAUUUUUUAAGUAAAUAUAUUAACUUAUUUAUUCUUUAAGGGAUAAGCUUUGAAGUUAAUAACCUAUAAUUUAUUUUAUAGAAAUAUAAUAGUAAGCUUUAAACCAGCUAUCUUUAAGAUUACGUUUUAGUUCAUUAUUUUUUAUUUUGAUUUUAUAAAUAUUUUAGGUUUUUUAUUAAGAUUAUUAAUUUAAUUUUAAAAUUUUUGUAAUAAUGAUAGAAUUAGUAUAUUUAUUUGUAUGAAAUUUUUACCUUGUGAACUUAUUAUAAGGAACUAGGCAAAAUUGAUUUCCGCCUGUUUAUCAAAAACAUGUCCUCUUGUUUAUAUUUUGAGGUCUGGCCUGCUCACUGAGCGUAUUUUUAAAGAGCCGCGGUAUUUUGACCGUGCAAAGGUAGCAUAAUCAUUAGUCUCUUAAUUAGUGGCUGGAAUGAAUGGCUU